AACGAAAUGUGCCCUAUCUGCACCUUUGACAGGAAAAAGAGAGAAUGGGUGAAUUCCAAUUUUCAGCAUGAAUUAAAAAAAAUGCUAGAUGAAUAAAGAAAACUGCAUCCAACUGAACUGAGCCAUGUAGGAAUACAUAAGAUGUCGUCAUACCUCCAACAGUCACCAACAUCCUCAGUUCACGCAUGUAUAAUGAGCCACACCCAUCUACAUCUGGCGUCACAAUUUUCCAUCCCAGAGAACUCUCCUUCGCCACGUCUCAGGAACUCACAAACUGUAACCCUCCCAACACCCAACUCCAUGAACAAACUUCAAGUCUUUUUCUAGGUCUUGGCUCCAACAUGGAUACCCAGCAGGGAGGCUAGAGAUCAGAUGUCCUUCAUUCCAUGACCGCCAGGCCUAGAAGAUAGAGACAGAGCAUUGGAACAUCUGCACUCUUCAACCUGGGUCCACAGGUGAGACAAGUUUCAUCAGCCUCUCCAGCUUCCUUUUUUUCACUCAACCUAUGUCAGGGACAGCAGUUCAUACAGGAUUCACACAGGGAUAUUUCACUAGAUUAAUAUUGGGGAGAUCCAGUCUUAUACCACACUCGGGGGUGGGGAGGACAAGCGACCACAGA